AGGACAAGGAGGAUAACAGUCACAAAGCAGGAGACACAGAUCAAACCUACCUGAUAAGGAGGGAAACAAUUAAUUUGAAAGUUCAGAGAGAAAGCAUCCCUGACAAGUUGGAAUUUAUACAAAACAGAAAAGAAGAAGCUAUAAACUCACCCAGAGCAGGGGACAUUCUGUUUGGGGUAGAAGCUUUGGUUGCUGCAAAGUAAGAAGUGGAAUAAUUUUUCAUCAAUAUUCUCAGAUGCUCUAUUAAACAAUAAAGG
rnacentral:lncRNA from 1 species